UGGGUGUGCAAUGGCUGCACGGCAUGGCCACCCUACAAAUCAAAUCGGUUGAUGAUGGCAAUUAGAGAGCGUGAAGAGCCCUCGACUGACUGGGCCACAUUCUCCUGUCAGGUGAUGGCAUCAUGUUUGACAUAUGAAGAUGCAAAGUACAAAGAAAAAAAAUUCGGAAGCGACGUCCGACCUAACAUUGAAUAAUGAAGAGCGGGAGAAGAGAAAAAGGAAGAGACUGCAGCAUACUCUUUCUUCAUUUGAGGAUGAGGACUUCUAUGACCAAGAUGAACGACGUAACACUCAGCCAGCCCCUCAACUUCCAGAACGUGCACCAGAGCCCAAGCAAAAACGCACACGUGUAUGUUUGCUUUUUGUUGCUGCAAUUUCUUAACGCUUUCCAGCAUUUAGAUUUUUUAUUUUAUGUGAUUAGCCUCAGCUUGGUUAGCCGCAAUUGUGAUAAUGAAUGGUAUCCAUAUUGUUUAUUGAGCACCUGCUGUUUUGGUGUUUCUUUUAGAGCGCAGCUC